GCUAAUACCGCAUACGCACUACGGUGGAAAGCGGGGGAUCUUCGGACCUCGCGCUAUUGGAUGAGCCUAAGUCGGAUUAGCUUGUUGGUGGGGUAAAGGCCUACCAAGGCGACGAUCCGUAGCUGGUCUGAGAGGACGAUCAGCCACACUGGGACUGAGACACGGCCCAGACUCCUACGGGAGGCAGCAGUGGGGAAUAUUGGACAAUGGGCGCAAGCCUGAUCCAGCAAUGCCGCGUGUGUGAAGAAGGCCUGCGGGUUGUAAAGCACUUUCAGUAGAGAAGAAAAGCUCACGGUUAAUAACCGUGAGUCUUGACGUAACCUACAGAAGAAGCACCGGCUAACUCCGUGCCAGCAGCCGCGGUAAUACGGAGGGUGCGAGCGUUAAUCGGAAUUACUGGGCGUAAAGCGCGCGCAGCGGCUUGGUCAGUCGGAU
rnacentral:rRNA from 1 species